GGGAAAAAAUUAACUAAUAACCGCCUAGUUGUGAAUACCGCAUUUAGUUUUGAAUCAUAUGGGCGAAAAACGGCUGUUUAACAGCACCAAAAACAAGAAAUCAUAAUUGCGUUUAUUAUGAUUUGUCGUUAGAUAAAUAUCCUUAUAGUUUAUUACACCUGAUGUUUUUAACCAUUAAUUAUUGUCAUGUCAAUAAUGAAAUAAAUUGUGGCUACCUACUGGUCAGUAGUUAAUGGCUAAUCCAUUAAACGUCAUUAUGAUUACAAAAAAAAUGUACAGAUGGAGCUACUGUUCCCCUCGCUAGCGAACGUAAGACAAAGACAACCACCUGUUUAUCUCUCCAUACGGGUGCGAAAGAGCUGAAUAGAUGUUAUUAUUACGCCUACACUGUGGCCAGUAGUCGCACGCGCACGAAAAAUCAAGAGCGCAAGCGCACCGCUAUCGCCCACAACUUCACUUCGGUCAACUUCGUCAUUCAGUGGUGUUCGAAACUUCGUUGUGUGUGGUAGUGAAUAUUAACUUUUCUAACACAUUCUCACAAAAAUAACAUUUACUAGUAACUAAAGUACAAUAUACUGUAUCUCAUCGUGUUAGAAUAGAAAUAUUACGUGACACUAGUUCUUUACAUAGGGUUCAAAAUGUGUGAUAAUACCAAUCCUUCAACGCAAAGUAUAGCGGACUACUUAGCUCAGUUGCUCAAAGACAGGAAGCAACUGGCUGCGUUCCCGAAUGUUUUCAUGCACAUGGAGCGACUUCUGGAUGAAGAAAUAGCAAAGGUCCGAGCGAGUCUAUUUCAAAUCAAUGGAGUGAAGAAGGAACCACUCAUAUUACCAGAACCAGAAGGCAUGGUGACUACGCUCACAGAAAAAGUGUAUGUGCCAGUCAAAGAACAUCCCGAUUUCAAUUUCGUGGGAAGGAUUCUAGGACCCAGAGGUAUGACCGCAAAACAGCUGGAACAAGAAACAGGGUGCAAAAUUAUGGUCAGAGGAAAAGGGUCGAUGAGGGACAAGAAAAAGGAAGAUGCAAACAGGGGCAAACCCAAUUGGGAACACCUAGCAGAUGACCUCCACGUUCUGCUGACAGUUGAAGAUACUGAAAACAGAGCCAAGAUAAAGCUAGCGAGGGCCGUUGAUGAAGUGAAGCGUCUCCUUGUGCCACAAGCUGACGGUGAAGAUGAACUGAAGAAGCGCCAGUUGAUGGAGUUGGCGAUCAUAAAUGGAACUUACCGUGAUUCCAGCUCGAAGGUGUCCGUUCCUGUGAACGGUCAGUGCCUAAUAACUGACGAGGAAUGGCGGCGCGUUGCAGCGGCGGCAGCCGAGACUCAGCGUUUGCUGGCACCAGGGGGCGUGGGCGGGGUGGCCCUGCGCACUCCCGCGCCCCUCGGCGCGCCCCUCAUCCUGUCCCCUCGCAUGUCCGCGCCAGCUCAACCCGGCCUUCUCAACGGGGCAGGGGCGGGAGCGGCGGCCGGCCUGCUGUCUCCGGGCGAGCCCGCGCAUCAGCUGAUCUACGCGUCGCCCUACGACUACGCGAACUACGCAGCUCUCACCGCGGCCGCGAACCCUCUGCUCGCCACGGAGUACGCCGCUGCUGAUCAUGCCGCGUCGAGGUAUCUGCUAGCUGGCUUUUGACAUUGGCCGCUACAGUCACAGCCGACAAUAAGAUACGGCGUCCACCAAACGCCGUUACACACAUCGCAACAUUAUUACCAUACUCCGUUCACGUAUUAAAAUUAGCCUUCGAAAUUCACGGGACGUUUCUUAAAGUCAUAUAUAAAAGCCAUGAUCAAUCUUUAGUGUAAGAUUCGUUUUAAUUAAGAUACGACAUAGCGUAUUAUAGCGUCUCGAAAUAUUGUUGUUUUCAAACUUUUUUUUUGUUGUACGUUUUUUUUUUCUGAAGAAAUUUUGUUUUUGUUUUCUUUCGUUCAAAGAUUAUUUAUUUUAUUUCAGAUUUUAUUUAUUCGUAGUAGUAAUAUAAUUAUUGUUUGUUUAUCGAAUCUUAAUUUUCGUGUUAAUUCUAACGGCGGUUUGUCGUAUUUAAACUGCCAAUGGAAUCUUAAGUUACCGAUGUUUCAUUUACGAAGACAAGUCCUAUAACAGUCCUUGUUCGUAUUUAUAUAUUUUAUCAAACACGACAUUUUCCGAAUAAAUGGGAGAUAAAGAACUGUAUAGUUUCAACCAUUUAAAGUAAUUGUGAUAACCCUUGCUUGUAACACAACUAAUAUUAUUAACAAUACGUUAAUUUGUCCAAAAUUCAUUUAAAAUUCUUAGUUGAUGUGUAGAUUUGAAAGAAUGAUAUUGACACGGAAUUCCGUGCCUUGCAUUCGGUUUUACCGUUCGUCGGUUUUGAAAAUUUCCAGAAUACUUAUGAAUAGUGAAUAAAUUUGUUUUGUGUUAACAGUAUCUUUAGUAACUUAUAAUAAAACGUCGACUACAAGCAAAAGGGACCAAAUAUUAUUUGAAUUGCAAACGAAAAAAAAAAAAACUAGUUACUCAUCUUUUAUACUACUUACAUAUAUUUUUUUUAACAAAACUGACAAAAUUAAUCGAGAAUAAAUUUCAAUUUAUUACUGAAAACUCUGGAACAUUCUAGGUGGUUAAAAAUUACGCGUUGUAAAAGUAAUGUUUUGUUUUUGAACAAUAUCGGGACAAAGUUUUACUUUUACGAAACAAAAUCUUUACGUAAACUUAAUAAUUUAUUAGCCAUUUUUUUUAAUAUAUAUUUAUAAACAUACCAUAGGAUAAGUAUUAUUAUUAUCUUUUAAAGAUUUAUUAGUUAGGAUAGCGAAGAGUGAGCUUUACGAGUGAAAUAUACGCCGGUAUAUUGAAGUUUAUUAUUUAGAUUUAUUAUGCAGCAGUUUUUGUACUGCCGAGUCAAUUUUAUUUAAAAACAAAAGAAUAUAGCCAGCCAUUAUCAGUACCUUAAAUAGACCUAAUACGGUCGGACUUUAUAAAUGUUUUAUUUUGUUAUUCUUUCCAAAGCAAUAUAGGUAGAUAGUAAUCUUAUAGGCCUAGACAUAAUAGCAGAGAUUAAGUGUUACUGCCAUAAUAAAAAUAAUAUAUUAUACAAAUCGAUGAAUCUGUGGCAGUGAUAACUGGACUUGCGUUUAGGUUAGUGGAAGUGAACUUUUUCUAUUUCUUCAUAAAUAUUAUAUGAGAUUAUAUUUAAACUUCAGCAUUUAUACGAUUAAAGCCGGUUUCGUUUAGAUAUUUUUUUAAAAGCAAUUUAUUUAUAGGCACCUCGACUUAUUAAACAUCACUACCCUCAUAUUCUCAAAUUGAUAUACAAUUUUUCGUAUCACAGAAUUGCCUAAAAUUGUGAACAAAAAUAAAUUAAUUUAGGUUUACCUUUAGGUUGGAACGAGUUUUGGAGGUUGUUGUAUUAUGUUCUGAUUGAGACACAGUAUAAACGUGAAUGUGCCGCUAGGUGUGGUGCGGAGGGCGGGGCGAGUCGCGAUGAGGGAGCACCCCUACCAACGCACGGCCUUACCGGCGCCUUAAACAUCCGCCAUUACGCGCUCACGCCGCCAUUUUGUUAACAAGGUGAGUGCUAACGGCGCCGAGGAACUAACAGGAGACGCGUUCGGCCGCAUCCCGCCGGGCCCUUUGCCGCCGCGUAACAUUAUCAUCGGAACAUCGACCACCAUGUAGCUAUAGCUGUUGGGCCUUUCACGUUAACAUAUACUAUGUAUUAUAAUAGUCUAACUAUUAACAUUAUAUGCCUGUUAUGUUUAUAACAUGAUGAACUUUAUUAACAAAUUUAUUAUUAUUAUUACAUAUAUAUAUUUUUUAUUAAAAUGAAAUGGCACACGCCAUCGACUAUAUUUACUUGUAAUUUGUACUUCUGUUGUCGCUUGACCGUGACGUUGUUAAACCACGAAAAUUUUAGGUUACCCUUUAAAAAUAGAUCGCGUUAAAAGUGUACAAAAAUGGCUUCUAGAUAGUUUAAAACUCGGAUGUUGAAAAAAAAUUGUUUUUUUGUUAACAAACACUUUUAACGCUGUCAAAACGAAACAUAAGCCUUAAUAUCAGGCUUAAAGGUGAAAUUAAGAUAACUUACAGCAUAUAUAGGUACAGAGAACGGUCUACAAAUAACCUCUGUAUACAGAACUAGAAUGAUCGUUAGCGCUAAGUGAAAAGUAUCAAAAUCGAUUGCGCAGACUAUGUCGACAAGAUGGCGGUGACAUGAAGUAAGUACUCAUAUUGUAAACAGCUUAGUUUAUCACGGUUAAAUCUAUUUCACAUAUUAUCGUACUGAUUUCGAAAGUUUAUUCUAGAAUAGCCUUCGUACACUCGUUGACCAUAUUUGUUUUAACUUCGGCAAUGUUUCAUAACGAAACCAAAGAAUAACAUUUUAAUCGUGUUUUUUUUUUUAAAUAUAUUGUUUCGAGAGCUCUAUUAGCCUAAAUUAAAAUCAAAAAAGUCUUCCUCGUAUAAAUCACUUUAUAAUUGCGUCAACGAGUGUAUGGUAUUUAUAUAUAUAUAAAUAUUUCAGCUAUUUAGGCCGUUUUCCAAUUACAGCAUAAGAGCGCAUUAUGCGGCAUAACGCUCAACUAAGCUUCAGCAUAAUUCGGCAUUGUGCGUCACUGAGUCGCAUUACGCUCUGUAAUUAACCAUUACUUAAAGGUAGUUUUCCAAUUACAGAUGCACAAUGCCGAAUUAUGCUGAAGCUUAGUUGAGCAUUAUGCCGCAUAAUGCGCUCUUGUGCUGUAAUUGGAAAACGGCCACUAUAAGUUACUUCUACAAGUUAAAAGAACGUUCGUGCAUCCCCAAGUGCCUUAAUGUACAAUAAACAUACAUAUUUUUAAAAUGGUUCUAUAGAUUUGUUUAUCGCUUUCAUAAUAGUUGAUUUAGAAGAGAUUAAAUUAUUGUUAACUUUGCUUAAUGUUAAUCUUUUAAUAAAGUUCAGAAAUAUUUUAGGUAUUAAGUAUAAUAGAUAUAGUGUCCAAAUGUAUUUUAUUAGAAUAUUAUUAGUGAAAGUUUGAUUUGGACAAUAAUAAUUUUAAGUGCCUUCGUUACAAUCUCCAAUGGAAUCUCGGAGUUCGAUCCCUCCUAAAUAUAGCAGAGAUCUGUGUUUAGCAGUAAAUUACAUGAAUUAAAAAAAAAAAAUCUCAAUUCUUAAUUUUCCAGUAACAAAGGCAAUUACGUAUUUUAUUUUUUCUAGAAUUGUAAUUGUUAUGAUGUGUAGCUUAAAUUGUUUUUUAAAGCAAUAAUAAUAAUUUUGAAUAAUAUUUUUUUACAUUUAACACUUAGUGCAAUAGAGAUGUUGUUUUCUAUUAAAAAAAAAAAGUUUAUUUAUCUCAACGUAGUACUAAUAGUUGGGCGAAUAUUUUACACGAAUAGAGAUCUGAUAUUGAGAUUAAUUCGGUAGAGGAAAAUAUAUCGCGUUAUGUUGUGAAUAAAGAAAAAUAUAUUUUCUAUUAAAAAAUUACUUAGCGUAAAAAGUAUAUUUUAUAAACGUAUUUUGUAUGGCACGACUAUUUUUUUUUUUUUAAAUUAGGUGCUUUUUGUAAUCACACAAAAGAAAUGAAGUUUGAAUGCUAAAUGUCGUUAUUAAAAAGGCAUUUCCCUAAAUCAUUGCAAUUGUUAAUUAUCAUUACCUACCAAAUCUUUUAAGUUAUUUGUUAAUCCGUCCGUUCAACGUAAACUACACAUAAUGUACUUAAUUUUUUUUUUUAAACCACUACACCCGAUUCGCUUAUUUACCUUUCUCAGUAAUCUUGACACACUUCACUCACGUCCAUACUGAAUUCCGAUGCAUGUUUAUGUAUUUGGAAAAAAAACGUAUCUAAUUGAAGACUAGAUAUUCAAUUUUGUACACUGUUGCAUAAUGUCAUGUACUGUAUAUUUUUUUAAAUAAUAAAUAAUUAAAUAAUAAAUUUAAAAGAACCUCAUUCGUUUCGCCUAUCUGUAAGUUUAAAAAAAAACCUAUUAUAACUGGUGAGUGUACAAAAAAGCAUUUGUUCAAACAGAAUCAUAUUAAAAUGCCAUAUAAGAAAAAUAGCGAUGAUUGUGAUGAAAAUUAAAUAGCGUACAAAUUAUGUUAAUAAUUGUCUGUCUGCAAAUAACUAGUAAUAGUAACAUGUUUCGUGGCUUAACGAAAUUAUAUUAUCUCUUAAUUGUGAAACAUGCUAAGUGCCAUCAGCAGACCGAAUUUUCAAUACAUCUUUUUUUGUUUUGUAUUAAUUAAUUCGUACUUAUUUUAUAUGUAAACGUUAUGGCUAUCGCAAGUGCCUUAAAUGAACUUGUAUAUAUUUAUUCUUCGAAAUAAAGUAUUAAAAUAGGGAAAGCAAAUUCUUCCGUUGAUAGAAUAUUUUUCCAAAAAAAAAAAAAAACUUAUAGAUAACUUUUAAUAUUUUAUAGUUAAGUGAGAUUGUGCAUAUUGUCUGUUUUGAUGUGUGUCUAAGAUUGAUUUGGCAUUAGUAAAUAUCAGGAAAAUGGA